rnacentral:rRNA from 1 species
GAAACCCUGACGGAGCAACGCCGCGUGAGCGAAGAAGGCCUUUGGGUCGUAAAGCUCUGUCAUUGGGGACGAAGGAAGUGACGGUACCCGCAGAGGAAGCCCCGGCUACCUACGUCCAGACACCCCGUGUAAAACGUAGGGGGCAAGCGUUGUCCGAAAUUCCUGGGCGUAAGAGCGCGCAGCCGGCCCGUAAAGUCAGGGGUGAAAUACGCGGCUCAACCGCGGGGGUGCCCAUGAAACCAGCGGGCUUGAGGGCAGGAGAGGGGAGCGGAAUUCCCAGUGUAGCGGUGAAAUGCGUAGAUAUUGGGAGGAACACCAGUGGCGAAGGCGGCUCUCAUGCCUGGCCCUGACGCUGAGCGCGAAAGCGUGGGGAGCAAACAGGAUUAGAUACCCUGGUAGUCCACGCCGUAAACGAUGGGUGCUAGGUG